rnacentral:lncRNA from 1 species
CAUGCAAUAUCUUCUCAACUAGUGGUAUGUCAGUUCUUGAUUUAAAAAAAAAAGAGAGAGAGAGAGAGAGAGAAGAGAUCAUCCCAAGGGGAGGCUCUACAAAACUUUCCACAGAGAAAGACGACUCCUAUUGUGCCACUUCCAAAUAGAAAACGAAACCCCUUUCUUGGAGGAAAGUGAGCACUCACCACCCAUACACAUCUUCAUCAACAACUCCCCAUUUGUCUGUAUUGGAACAUUACAUUAUACAUCAAAUUAAGUUGUCUCUCUUUAAUGCAAUGCCUCCUAAACCAGAAAAAAGGGGGAAAAAAAAAACGGAAAGAAAAAGGCAAUUUGAAUAAGAAAAAGGCAUGUAUAGAAGAAAGGAAGAAAAACAGAAGGGGAAAUUGGGAAAGUUUGGACAGCUGUUAAUAUAUGAUGGGGAAUGACGUAGUUGAAAGGUGAUCUCAGCAACCUCCAUGCACACCACCUAGUCAUGUUAUUUAAGUAUACUUGGUCUCUCUAUUAUUUUCCUUCUUUGUCUCUUAACUUUUUAGAAACGUGAAUAAUUCGGCUAAGAGUCCGUCUAUUUACUUGACCCAAGAAGCAAGUCGCUAGUUUCCAAUUUAGACACGAGGAGGGACCAGAGGUUGACCCACCUUAGUUUCUAGUCUAUUCUUCUCCAAAAAUAAAUAAUAAAAAAUUUAAAAAAGAAAGAAAGAAAGAAAGAAAAACCCCAAUGUGUUCUUGCAGCUAGCCCAUGUUUAUUUCAUUGAGUCUUUUGUGCACUAGAAUAUCACUUAAAUUGCAAAUUGCAAGGUUUGAUAUUUUUGUUUGGCUUCCAUACACUUUGGUUUUAAUUUUAUCUCUUUUGUUUUUAGAAAAUAAAAAAACAAAACAAAAAAACGGUUGAAUAAUUAUAUACCAAUAAACUCAAAAAAAUAAAAUAAAAUUCCUUCAUGUGAUUUUUUCGAAGUUGUAGAUCUCAAUUUCCCAUUCUUGAACUUGUUCAAAAUAAUUUAAUUAUUAAAAAAUUUCAUAUUUUUGUUUUUGUUUUUAACCUUUUAAAAUCAAAAUUGAAACAUAAAAAAGGUGUUGAAACAUCAAUUUUAAAAACUAUUUUCAAAAGAUGUUAUUUUCUUGUUUCCCUUUUUUAUUUUUUUAUUUUUAUUUUUACUUUUCACUCAUCUUCGUGGUGGCUGCCACAUCAAACCAUGUCCAAUUAAAACCAAUUGUGAUGAACACCAUAUAAUAAACAGCUAGCAGCCAGCAUGGGUCAGUCAAAGAUCCAGCUUUAUUGUCUACCCCACCAUUAAACCUACUCAGCUUCCAAAGCCAUCGCCUCCAAAAACACCUCUCUAUAUGUACCUCACCGAUCUACACCAUCUCCUCCAAAAAUCUCUUACCAUAAAGACUAUCCAGCAAUUGUUCUAUUCUAGUACACUAGACAGCUAGGUGUGUUGUCCAGAUGGGUGAGGUGGUUGAGGUGAAGUUGAGCCCGGUGCAGCCCUCCGGACCUCCAGUGGUGUCGGUUCCUCCGUUUCAGCUCCAUUCUCCGUCCAUGACUCGGUCGCCGCUGAUCGGUGGGGUCCCGAAAAGCCCAUUAACUUCACGGAUUCUGACUCCAUUGGCGAGCCCCAUGAAGAAGGCGAUUGCAAGCAUGCAAGGGUUCUUGGAAGAAGUUGGCCACCUCACCAAGCUUGACCCGCAAGAUGCAUGGCUUCCCAUCACUGAGUCGAGAGAUGGUAAUGCGUACUACUCGGCGUUUCACUCGCUGAGUUCCGGGAUUGGAGUCCAAGCCCUUGUGCUUCCCUUGGCUUUCACUACACUUGGCUGGUGAGUUUGAUGAAAAUCCAAAACUAGAGGUACCGAAUCAACAAACGGGUCAAAUUUGGAUUUUUCGUUCUAAUUCUGCGAUAUUGAAUUGGUUUCAGGAUCUGGGGAAUUCUUUGUCUGUCGCUGGCUUUUGGAUGGCAGCUCUAUACUCUAUGGUUGUUGAUCCAGUUGCACGAGUCGGCUUCCGGAACACGGUACAGCAGAUACCUCCGACUUUCCAUGGCUGCUUUUGGUAAGCAUGCAUGCAUUAUUGCUCUGAUAUAUUAUAUAAGAUGGCAGCUCUACGCUCAAUGGUUGUUUCUUUUAGCUAAUGGUUUAUGGGGAUCGAUGAUCCAAACUGCUGAUCAGGUGAAAAGCUGGGGAAGCUGCUGGCACUAUUUCCAACCAUGUAUCUAUCAGGAGGCACCUGCGUCACUCUCGUGAUUAUCGGUGGAGGGACCAUGAAAAUAUUUUUCCAAAUAGUCUGUGACUCCAACUGUAAUGUGAACCCGCUGACAACCAUAGAGUGGUACAUCGUCUUCACCUGCUCCGCCGUCAUCCUCGCUCAGCUUCCAAACUUGAACUCCAUCGCCGGCAUCUCACUCAUCGGUUCAAUCUCGGCCGUCACCUAUUGCACUGUGAUAUGGGUGGUGUCCGUUACCAAAGACAGGCCACAUGGCGUGUCUUAUGACCCAGUGAAGCCCACAUCGGAUGUGGCUAGGCUCUGCGGCAUCCUGAAUGCGCUUGGGAUAAUCGCAUUUGCCUUCAGAGGCCACAACCUUGUGCUCGAAAUACAGGGGACGAUGCCAUCAAGCGCAAAGCAUCCGUCACGGAAGCCAAUGUGGAGUGGCGUCAAGUUCGCUUAUUUAAUCAUAGCGAUGAGCUUGUUUCCACUUGCAGUAGGAGGCUAUUGGGCUUAUGGAAACUUGGUAAGCGCUAAACACUUUAAAACCCAGUUAUCUUUUCUUCUUGGGUCUACAAAACCAAGGGGUUUUGGGGCUAAUGAAUGAAGCUUUAAAUGGCAGAUAAAAGAAGAUGGGAUGUUCGCGGCAUUGUACAACUACCAUGGACACGACACAUCAAGAAUUAUUCUGGGUUUAACAAGCCUGCUCAUCGUGAUCAACAGCCUGACCUCGUUCCAGAUAUAUGCAAUGCCAGCAUUCGACAACCUGGAGUUUAGGUAUAUUAGCAGCAGAAACCAACCGUGCCCAUGGUGGCUCCGCUCAGGGUUCCGGGCCUUCUUUGGAUGCCUUGUUUUCUUCAUAGCUGUGGCGCUUCCGUUCUUGCCAAGUUUGGCAGGACUGAUCGGAGGGGUUGCAUUACCAGUCACUUUCGCAUAUCCUUGUUUCAUGUGGAUACAGAUUAAACAACCCCAGAAAUAUAGUGUAAUCUGGUACCUUAAUUGGGGACUGGGAUGCAUGGGGAUGGUUUUAAGUGUCCUCUUGGUCACCGGAGCAGUAUGGAGCAUCGUGACCAUGGGCAUUGAAAUCCACUUCUUCAAGCCCAAGUAGUACAAGCAAAAAGACCAUGAAUCUCUGAUCUGAACCUGGGCUCCGGAUAUAUAUAUAUAUAUAUAUAUUUGAAGCAACUGACCAGUGUAUUCCUUGGCAAGGGCCAAAGCAUAGCCACGGAGGUGAAGGAGACAGCAGUAGCAAGAAAGGUUUGAUGUCUGAGACCAGCCUACGCAAAUUGGCUUAAUUGAAAUGUGUUUGUACAUCAACAUCUAAUAUUAAAAUGUUUGCUAAAUAAAGCAGACUGCAGAACUGAUGUGCUGGUGCUGUGGUGCAUCAGCAGCAACAUAUUUUCAUUAAAAAAAUGUGCAUCACCCAGCAGUGUUUGAUCUCAUCAAGAAUCAGCAAUUCAAAACUGACAAAUAAAACACCAUCUUCCAGACAAUAACCUUCACAGGACGUUAAGAUACAGGUGGUUUACCCAAUCCUGGGAUAAAUCCAUGGAAGGAAGAAGCUCUAGACCUCAGCCACUGCUGUUCAGCCAGAGCAGCAUCUUGAAUGAUGAGAUGAACCACUUUAAUCAGCUUGUAUUUAAGUAAUCACACCAAUAAUAUUCUUUAAUCAGCUUCCUUUAAGUGCAAUUACAUAGCCAAUAAGCCAAAAGAGGAUGGGGGACCAAAAGCUAUGGUCAAGGAUUCUCACAAUUUACACAACAAAGUUGGGUCACUAUAAAAAAAAAGGGUUGCAACUCCAUAUGAUUUUACAUAGAUAAUGGAAGAAGCAUCCUCCGCUUCUUUUUCCUGUCUAGUCUUACUUGCUUUGUAAUUUUCAUGCAUAAAAGUAAUAGCAUUGUGACAAUUACUAAGAUAAAAGCAAGCCGUAUAUGCCUGAAAUAUAAAGAGACUGCUGAGAAAACCAGAAAAGCUAGAAUAACAAGUUCCCAUAUCACAAAGACCACCACGUCCACCCUGCACCCAGAAAAGGAACAUAUAUUAUCAGACGUGAUGCUCUUGUGGAAAUUUUAAUACAGAAAAAGCACAAACAGUAUUUUGAAAGACUUCAUCACAGACUUUAAAUGGACAAAAAUAUUCUGGAUAACUGGAAUUCAUGCGCCAAUUUUAUAAGAAUUUGAGUUCAUCAAAUCCUAAAAGCAAGACAACUUGGAUGAAAUAUUGAGGCACAAGGCCUAGGUUCAGAUGGCAAAGUAAUAGGACGGGGUUGAGUUAGGCCCAAUGUUAAAAACUAUACUACAAUAAUAAUAAUAGCGGCAAUAACAACAACAACCUGAUGUCAUUAUCAAGAAUUUUAUACUUUUAGUGAGCACAUAGGCACAUCAAGAUAACUUGCUCAUUUCCAUCAACCGCCCAUGCCCUGAUGCACACACUGCAGACCCAAGUUUGCUUAAUCAACACCAUAAACCAUGAGUAUCAAAGCACACCAUAAACAACUAACACCAUAUGCAUCAGACCUAGCUGUCAUAUUUUCUACACUUAAACAUUGCCAUAAUUUAUGGCACAAACACACACAGAAAAUGAGAUGGCUUGGAAUGCCUAGUGUCAAAAGUUAUGUCUAGAACCCAUGGACAUUUCCUCUCCAAUUCUUCUGCUAGUUUGGUUAGCAGCUGUCUUGAGAUAGUCUUUGAAGUUCUAUGAACUCAAAUCAAAUCUGUCCUAGGAGCUACCUAAAAAUAAGGAGUCUAAAUGAAGGAGAACACCUCUUUUCAUCAUCAAUCAAUCUGAAAAAGAGAAAAAGGGUUAAUCAAGCAGGGGUGAUCAUCAAAAACAUUUUUAGGAAGCUUAUUGUCAAGUGGGUUGGGAAAGUUACUUCUAUGUCAUAGUUCCUAAAUAAAUCCACUUGUCUCUACCUCUACAUCAUAUUCCCUACACAAAUCUGCCUAGGUCAUUUUUAGUAUUAUUUUUUUUUUUGAUAAGCAAAGGAUAUGCAUUAAAAAAGGCAAAACGCCGCACAACAUAUAGGAAGUAUACAAGGCAGCUAAGGCCUCAAAAAAGACAAAGACAAAAGAAUCACCUCCCUUUAAGUGGAAGUUAUCCACUCUAGGAAGCCUAUAAGGGAGAACGCCUCCUCACCUACAUACAAUUUGGCCCAACUCCACAAAUUACAGACAAAAAAAUUCUUUAACUUUUGAACGUUCAAACCCCCCCCCCCCCUAAAUGCUAAUCUAUUCCUCUCCUUCCACACCGUCCAAAAAAUACACAACGGAAUGGCAUCCCAUAUCUUUUUCCUUUUCUUUCCCACGAACGAUCCCCUCCAACUAGCUAAAACCUCCUUUACAUUUUUUGGAAAAACCCAUUUCACAUCAACUAAACCAAAAACAAUAUCCCAUAAAACUCUAACCACUGUACAAUGUAUCAGGAUAUGAUUUACACUUUCUUCCUCACAACCACACAAGAAACAACGAUUUGGAAGUUGUAGUCCUCUUCUUUGAAGUCUAUCCAAAGUAAGCACCUUCCCCCAUGUCGCCUCCCACCCAAAAAAAGCAACUUUAGUUGGCACCCUUGCCACCCAAAUGCUUCUUGAAGGAAAACCUAUAUCUUUAGACUUCGUCAACAAACUAUAAGCUUCCUUGACCCUGAACUGACCACUUCUUCCUUGCCUCCAAAGAACUGAGUCUUCCUCCAAGGAGGGUUUGUAACCCCUCAAUAUUUGGAGAAAAUCCCCAACCAAAUCCAGCUCCCAAUCAUUGAAGUCCCUCAAGAAGUUUAGGUUCCAAUUUCCUUGACCCAAAUUUUGAUCCCACAUUUCCUCAACCGUUGAAUUCCUUUGCGCAGCCAUACUAAAGAGAUGAGGAAAACAUUGAGACAAAGAAGAUUUUGAACACCACACAUCUGUCCAAAAUCUGAUCAUAUUGCCCUUCCCUACUCGGAAUCUCAUAUUAUCCCAACACCACUCUGAUUCUUUCAAAAUCUCCUUCCAAACCCCUGCACCAACCGCCCCAUUUGCCUUCUUGGGCCUCCAAUCAAGACCCUCCUGCCCAUACUUCACCUUGAUCACUUGUUUCCACAGAUUAUCUUUGUCACAGGCAUACCUCCAUAUCCACUUGCCAAGUAAAGCUUUGUUCAACAAAGCUAGCUUCCUCAGUCCUAACCCACCUUUAUCCUUGUCUGUACAAACCACCUCCCAUUUAACCAAAUGAACUUUCCCCUCCAUAUUUCCCCCUCCCCACAAAAAAUCCCUUUGCACUUUCUCAAUCCUUCUAACAACAACCUUGGGCAUUCUGAAAAUAGACAUUUGAUAGAUUGGCAUACUAGCCAAAGUACUUUUUAUUAAGGUGACUCUUCCUCCUUUACAAAUAUAUUGCCGUUUCCACAGAGCAAGUCUCAAUCUUACUCUCUCCUCCACCCCAUCCCAAAUAUAAGGCGCUCUAUUUGGGGCCCCUAAAGGAAGACCCAAGUACUGAGAAGGUAAAGACCCCACCCUGCAGCCUAGCUCAACAGCCAACUCCUCCAUCUCCACCACCUCUCCAACUGGAAUGAUUUCACUCUUGGCUAAAUUAAUCCUUAGGCCUGAAGCCGCUUCAAACCAGAAUAAGAUCCAACUUAAGUGAGUUAGAUGAUCCUUUCUAGCCUCACAGAAAAUAAUUGUGUCGUCAGCAAAAAACAAGUGAGAGAUGUUCAAAGGAGGGCCACUACCACCCCUUAUAUUACACCCUGAUAAAAACCCCCCCUCCACAGCUCUCCUGAUAAGGACAUCUAGCACUUCCAUCCCCAUAAUAAAGAGAUAAGGAGACAAAGGAUCUCUUUGUCUAAGACCUUUAGUGCUAGGGAAGAAACCUGCAGGCACUCCAUUAACCAACAAUGAAAAUUUAGCUGAGGAUAGGCAACUCCACAUCCACCCCACCCACUUAGGCCCAAAGCCCAUCUUUUGCAACACCUUCAACAAGAACUUCCAAUUGAUGCUGUCAUAAGCUUUCUCUAUAUCCAAUUUGCAUAUAAUGCCCUUUUCUUUUCGUUUCUGCUACGUGUCUAUCACUUCAUUUGCAAUUAAAGAAGCGUCAAGAAUUUGUCUUCCCCUCACAAAGGCAUUCUGAGAAAUGGACACCACCUUACCAACUACUUUCUUCAGUCUGUUAGUUAACACUUUAGCCAAUAACUUGUAAAGCCCCCCCCAAGAGACUAAUAGGUCUAAAGUCUCUAAGGUCCUCAGCCCCGCUUUUCUUGGGGAUCAAUACCAAGAACGUAUUGUUGAGACUCUUGAGGAAAGAGUUGUGUUCGUAGAAGUCUUUGAACAUAUCUAAAAUCUCUUCUUUAAUGAACUCCCAACAACUUUGCCAGAAUGCCAUAGUAAAGCCGUCCGGACCAGGGGCUUUAUCCCCAUUCAUCUCCAUCAAAGCCACAUGGAUUUCUUCCUCUGUAGAGGGUCUCUCCAGGUUCUCAGCCUCUUGUUGGCUGAUCUGGUCAAACUGAAGUCUCCCUAUGUCCGCCUUCCACCCCAUAUCUUCGGAAAGCAAAUUUUGAAACGCAUUAGCAAUUCCUUCCCUGAUUUCCUGCUCCUCUAGCAGCCAAUCCCCAUUUAUCUUAAUUCUCUCCAAAGAGUUAUUUCUACAGUGAGCGCUUGCCAUGCGAUGAAAGAAGCCCGUGUUUCUAUCCCCCUCCUUCAGCCAUAUUUCCCUUGAAAGCUGUCUCCAAUGAGUUUCCUCCAUAAUCACCCAUUUUCUAUAAUUAUCCUUUGCCUCUUUCUUAAGCUCUGUUUCCUCCACAGUCAAAAUUCUUUCACUUUCCUCCCUAUCCCAGAAUUCCACCUGCUGCAAGGCUAAGGUUUUGUUGCUCUCCAGCUUUCCAAAGACUUCUCUAUUCCAAACUUUCAAUUUCUGUUUGAUUUCCUCCAUCUUAGUAGCCAAUUUGUAACUAGCACUACCCCUAACCUCAAUUCCUUGCCACCAGCUGUGAACAAGAUCUUUGAAGCCCUCAACCUUAAGCCACAUAUUUUCAAAUCUGAAUGGAGUCGGGCCUCGUCUUAUCCCACCCCCCACUAACGUUAUUGGAAAAUGAUCGGAUACCGGACGGGUCAGCCUACACUGAUUAAUCCCACUAAAUUGGUCUAUCCAGCUAGGGGACACAAGGAACUUGUCUAAUCUUGCCCAAACCUGAUUGUUUUGUCCCCCAUUCUAAGUAAAUUCUCCCCCCUGAAGGGGAAUAUCCACCAGCCCAAGAUCACCCACAGUUUCAGCAAAUUUCCUCAUAGUUGAAUUCAUUCCCCUCCUGCUACUCCUUUCCCUCGGAAAUAGAGUGAUAUUAAAAUCCCCCCUAUACACCAAGGGUCUUCCCACAGCCCUCUAAUCGCCCCAAACUCAUCCCAUAAUGCAUCCCUGUCCACUUUGGAAAACGGGCCAUACACUCCCGUAAAAAUCCAGAUAGCCCCAUUUUCUACAUUCUAGAAUCUGCAAGAUAAGGUAAAUUGACCCUCUUCCCAUUCUAGAAUGUCCAAAGACCUGCUAUCCCAGCAUAUCAGAAUUCCUCCCGAAGCCCUCUUCGCAUUCACAGCUUUCCAAUCUAGGAAUCUUCCGGAGCCUAUACUUCUCGCAAUGCUAUCCGACAUAGCUUGAAUUUUAGUCUCCUGAAUACAGAUUAAGUCCACCCUCUGGUUCCUUAUGAACGUCUUAAUAACUUUUCUUUUGGAGCCAUCAUUUGCUUCCCUCACAUUCCAGCUCAGAAUUUUCAUCUUCAUUGAACAAUCACAAUUUGACGCCCUUUGCCCUGUACCGAGCCUUUCUGUUUAAUUCCCCCCUCAUAAUUUAUGGAACAUUCCAGUCUUUUUAGCUCCCUUUCAAACUUAGAUUUUUCCAGUAGCUCUUUACUAUGGAUUUUCUCCCGUCUUUUUCUGAUUUUGGUCAGAAAAUUCAAGAUUUCCUUCUCCAACCCCUCCGUAGGGAAGCUCAGGAAUUGGCUGAAUUUCGCCAAUCCACUCUCUUCCCAUUUGCCCUCCGGCUCACUUCUCUCUGCUUGGGUAUCAUAUAUGUCUCCGACCCCAACCAUCCCCCUGCCCUUCUCACUGCUACUUUUAUUUGCUUCCAAUUCCUUACAUCCAUUGCUCCUUUCAUUACAGGCCUCAUACACUGUUAACCAUAUUGUAUUAUCAGCCCGAACUUCCUCAUUCCAGUCCCCAGAAUGAUCGAAAAACUCCCCCCCUCCCCGGAGUCCGAUCAAAAAGAAUAGAGUUGAGAUGAGAGGCCCCCAAAACCCUUUUCCCCCAAGAACACAACCCCAUUCCAUACCUCAUUGAUUCCUCUUCCAGCGCCUUAUCCGUCUCUGAUAUCCUAGCCACUCCAUGUAGCUUCCUCAUAUCCUCAGUCUCCCAUGCAACAAAAGGCUCUGGCUCAUGAAGAUUACCUGAAGCGAGACCCGUCAACAGUAAGUCCAUCUUCUGAACGUUAUUUUGGACUUGGGCUUCUGAGAAAGUUGGACCCUCCCUUAGCUUUGGGCCUUUGUUUGACAAUCGAGCUUUUCGCGAAACUGGGCCUAAAGAAGAACAACCCACCUCAUCAAUCCUAUGCGACGGGCCUGCUUCAAGGCUAAUCUCACAUGCAGCCACACCUUUCAUUUUCAAGCCCAUGACUCCGCUCUUCAGACCAGGCCCAUCAGCCGUUCUUGACUCCUUUGGGCUCGCAGUUGGGCUUAAGAGAUGCAUUGUACCAGAUGGAGCAGUCCGGGUUAUCGGGCUUCUAACUGCACUGGGCACGACUCGACCCGGUCCGACCCCCUGCUCACCCGUCCCAUCAUCUGACGGGUUUAGGGUCUCGAGCCUCACGCUCACCCACUCCUUCGACACUCGCUGUUCCGCGCAUGAGAUCUCCUCACCCCUAACCUCACUGCUAUGACGAACUUCUUGUCUGCGAUUCCUCCUUAACACCGGCCGACAUUCCCACCAUAGGGACACAGCGUAGACCUCCUCCUCCGCUUCGACUUCCAGGACACUCGGUCUAGCUUCACCUCUCACUCUCACCAAGAUUCUGGCCCACUAGAGCUCGCCCAUCGUGUUCGUUUGUUCAUCGUCUGUGAUAAAGCCGCCGCAUUCAUCCCCCACUCUCUUCAAAAUCUCUGGACUCCAUAGCGAGACAGGGAGCCCAACUAAUCUCACCCAAAUUUCCUUUCCCUCUUCCUCCUCUGUCCAACAUCCACUCCUAGGACUCCAAAAAUCCAGCCCUACCUGGACUCCUUCCGUCACGCGAUUUCCAAAGGAGACAACGCGUCUAGCCUCUUCCAAAUCUUCAAAAUCCAGCAGAGCUCUUCCCUUUUCCAACUUAGCCAACCCUAAGCUGCCUUUAAGCUCCCACGAUUUUGCCCAAAGCUGCCCUAACUUCUCAAGAUCGUCUUCUGCCCCUGAGUUAUCUUUCCAACUCGCCACGAUACAGUGUUCCAAUUUCUUUAACAAACCUAUUGAUUCCUCCCUUUUCACCUUCACUACAAUUGUGUUUGGGUUACCCAACAGUGCUCGUUUUGCUAUUGUUGCAUACGAUCUUCCCCCAACAGCCUUCUCCCUGUCCUUUCCUUCCUAGGUUUCUGGUUGCCAAAGGAGCCUACCAUCUGGUUUAGCUUCUCCGCCAUGGUCAUCCACCCCCUUUUAUCCCUUCUACCUCUCGGAAUGAAAAUGCAGAACCGUUUCCUCUCUAGAUCGGAGACCCCUAGCCGUAUAAACCCCCCCGCUUUGUUUAUCCCUCGUGAUAUAGAGUACACUCUUCCCUGCUCCUUCCAUUCCCUUCCCCAUCUUGCUUCUUUCUCAUCCUUGAUACAGAGAUUCAGACCUUCAAAGAAAAACCCUAGGCUGUCCGAUCCCAAUCGGACCCAUGACGAAACCCCUCCCUUCUUCUCCACGAUGAGGACUUGGAUUUUUCCUUUUCUAUCAUCCACAAUGAUCUCGAACGCCUUGGAUUCCACUAUGAAGCUACACACCUUCCUUCUGCUUCGCGGCGCCAAGCUCUCCUCCCCCUCCUCACCAUCACACACGCCUUCGCACUCUCUCUCGUCCUCUCUCGCUCGCUCUCUCUCUCCCAUGACUCAACUUUCUUUAUUUGGUUCAACCUUUUAUAUAUAUCCAUUUUAUCUUUACAGAGCUGGUCCCUAGCAAUAAAUGAGGUGGGUUGUAGUAGGUAGGCAAAAAAAAUUAUUGCAGCCAAGCCCAAGUAACUGGGAUAAGCCUUUGUUGAGUUGAGUCAAGUUGACUCACUACAUUCAACAUGGAUAACAAAAAAAUAAGUUUCUCAAAUCAUAAAAAUAGCUGAAAUCCCAGGCUCUUUUCUGAAAUAUUAUCCACCUUCCCAAAAAUGCAACAUUCAUUUACAGUAUUUCACCACUACAAUAACAACCAAAAAUAUUCUUUAAAUUAAUUUAUGAGUUGUAAGCCAUUGUCCAAGGUUUUAAGCAUCACUGGCUAGCAAUAUCAAUACAGUUAUAUGAUACCAAUAUGCGCCAGAUCAUAGAGAGCAGUAAAACACAAUUUCUGAAAGUUUUUAGGUGUCGUAGAAGAAUAUCAGCCACGUUAGUAAACAAUUUGUAGAUGAUGCUAAUAUGUCUGCCUGAUAUUUACAAAGUUACUGGGCUCAAUAUCAACACAAUUGGAUGAUACAAUUGGUGCCACUUGUCAGACUCUAUGCAUAAAUAACAACACAUAGUUUACCAAAGUUUUCAGAUGUCACAGCCAUACUAGGAAAUCAUUCAAAGAUGAAACAUAUGUAGUACCAUCGUGUAAUAUUUAUAACAUUCAGAUGCCAAAUAUUUUUUUGAUAGAUAAACACACAGAAAAUAUAAUAAGAAAAAGGGCGCUUAAGAGGCAACCCAAAGCAUACAGGGAGUAUACAAGAGAUGCCAAAAAGCAAGAACAAAAAGAAGCAAACACUCACUAGCCCUCAACUAGAACCCAACCAAUAAAAAAAGUUGAUUAAAGGUAAAGGUCCUACAUCUAAACAAGACUUAGACCAAGACCAAAGAUUACAAACAAACGAAUUUUUCAUCCUUUGAAUAAAAAAAUCCUCAUUAACAAAAGUUAUCUUGUUUCUUUCCUUACAAAUCGUCCAAAAUAAACAAAGAGGAGCUACCAACCAAGCCUUUGUACACUUCUUGCCCACAAAGGAAUCAUGUUAACCUAAGAGAGUGUCUCUAGCCAAAAGCGGAAGGACCCAAUUAACACCAAACAAAGCAAACACAAGCUCCCACAAAACCCUCGCCUUGGAGCAAUGAAUAAGAAUGUGAUUAAUCAUCUCCUCUUCAACACAACAUAGGAAACAUCUGUUAGCUAAGUUCCACCCCCUCCUCUUGAGUUGAUCUAGGGUUAGGACCUUCCCCCAUGAAGUUUCCCAAGCAAAAAAACCCACCUUAGUAGGAACACAAGGGCUCCAAAUGAUGCUCCACGGAAACGGGACUGCACAACUAGGUUCAAGAGUAUUAUAAAAGAUUUAACAGAAAAAAUCUCAUUCUUUGACUCUUUCCACACCACCCUAUCCUCCAAACCAACAGCUAGUCUCUUUCCUUGAAGAGUCUAAAGGAGCCUCUCCACCGCCUCCACCUCCCAAUCAUUGAAAGAUCUAGAGAAACGGGGAUUCCAUCCCCCCUCUUCCCCCAAGGAAUCCCAACAAUCCGCUACCCACGCAUCUUUAGAAACCGCUAAGGCAAACAAAGAAGGAAGAGAAUCAUGAUGGGUAUUAUUUCCGCACCAUUUGUCCUUCCAAAAUCUCACCCUUCUACCAUCCCCCAUAGAGAAAGUAAUAUUUUUAAGCAUCAAGGAACCUUCCUUUCUAAUUUCCUUCCAAAACCCCACAACCUCCCAAUUUAUAGGAUCUUAUUUGAAUGUUCUCUUUAAUAAAAACCGAUCCACAAUUUUCUCACAACUAUUUGUACCUUCUAGACAAUCCAAAAGCAAUUCUACACACAUUACUACACCCUUAGGAUGCAGUAAUUGCCCCAUGCAAAUUUAGUCUAAAAAUAACCUUGGUUAAUGCAAGAGAAUCAUUUCUUACUAGUGUCACAUGCGCACUGACACAUACACAUAGAGCUGUUCUACCAUUACCAAAAUUUCCUUUUCCAAACAAGAAUCCUAUAAAAUUGAAAAUAAAAGGGUUCAUCCUCAAGAGUUUAAUUAAAAAGAUUAACAGGCUCCGGAAAGCUAUGCAACUAACCAAACUAUAAUUAGAGAAAUAAGAGACUUUAUUAUGCUUGUCACAAGAUAAGGUUUCACAAUCAAAUAUACUUAAGUUUAGGAUCCCAGACAGUAACAUGAAACAACAGUUAAAACAAAAUCUUCACUUGUAAGGUAGUCGCCGCUCAAUAAAUAAAAAAUCUUUCCAUCCAUACUCUAUUUCAAUCGAUAGGUACAUGGUCUCAUAACAACCCUUUUAUAAAUAAUUUAAAAAUAAAAAAUAAAAGUGUUUAUUUGUCACAUUGAAGCAGCCUUGGGAAAAGCACCAGUUUGCCAAAGAGACAUUAUGUUUGAGAGAAGUUGCCCAAACAAAAAGAAUUUAUACUUUACAUUUGAGAAUUCCAAUUUUGGCGAUCAAAAUGGCCAAAGGCUUCCUACUGGACAGGUCUUUGUCACUUACACAACCAAAUGAUAAAAUUUAUUUGCAUCCCAGGUUAUAUAAAGUUGGGCAACCCCUUCAGAUCAAAUAACUAAUCCAAGCCUAAAAAACAAUCAAUGAUCACCCACACCAAUAAUGCCACCAUGCCCAAACCAAUUAAUGCUUCAAUUACUUGAAUCACAUUUCCAAUUCUCCUUCCGUUAAGGUUUUUCCACCAUAAAGAUUCCCAACAGAUUGCCCAGGAGUCGUAAUAUUCCUAAUUUUCGUUUCCAUUUUCCUAUUCUUUUCUCCUAACCAAAACCCUAGCCGAUCCAAUUGAAUCCGCAGGCUAGAACUGGUUCCAGAUCAGACGGUCAAGCAUCUAGAUCUCAACCAAAACAAUUAGCGAAAACCAAAACCACGAAAAACACAAACCGAAAUUGGAGAAAUGAAACCCUAACUAGGAAACAAACCAUGAGAAUCGAAGAGAGUAAAUAAAUACCUAGAAGAAGUGAGAUUAGAAGUGGAGGAGAAGAAGGAGACGGAAGCCCAGUCAUGCUUCGAUCGAAUCUGGUACUCUCUCAGCUGUUCCGCCAAAUUCGAACGCGUUAUCAUAUCGACGCCCCUCCCCCGUCCUCCCCCGUCCCUCAAAAUCCUGUUUGUUUCUCGAGAAAUUUGUAGAUUGCUUUAAGAAGGAGAAUUUGCAGACAGGAAAAUGAGAUGAAGCAGUGAGGGCAAGAGACGAAUGAGAGCAUCAGCUUCCGUUCGUUGCGUGGACUCUUCUUUCUCGCUCGGUACGAAAUGAGAAAUGGAAUUUUCCCUUUUUUCUUUUAUCUUUUUUUUUUUUUCUUGUUUUUGAAAAAAAAUAUAUUAAUUUUGAGUUUUAAACCUACGCCAGCGGAUUUAACGGGUAGGCUGGUGGCUGGAUCACGAUGCCAAUUAUAGAUGAGCUCGUUCUUGGAUUAGGGUCACAGGCUAUGAUUUGUAAUUGGGUUGCCCAUUACGCCGAAUUAUAGGCCGAAAGUCUUAUAAGAUUUAGUGAUCUACGCUUGAGUUAAGCCCAUAUCCUAUUUAAUGGAUUCGGCCCAGAUUCAUGACUAUAUCUGGUUCAGAUAAUUUCGGCCCACCCUCAAAUGGGCCUUCAAAUCGAUAUUGUUUCAUUUCAAAACAUUUCUCUACGCAUAAAAUUUAUUAGUCUUAAUGUUACUCUUCUUUGUUUUGUUUUGUAUUUUAUCAUUUUAUGUUAAGAAAAAAAAAUUGAAAGGAAGAACCCACAAAUUAAUAAACUACCAUAAAACGAUUGAUAUAAACAUAAAUUACCGUUAAAAAAAUAUUAUUUUGACACAAAUCUUUUAAAUUCUUGAUUUAAAAAAUUGAUCAUACUAUAAAUAAUAUUAUCAUAAUGUAAAAUUUUAGUAUGACAUUCAAUAUUAUAAAUUUUUUUUCUCAAAUGGAAACCACUUAAUAUUGUUGAAUAAAAAUUCAAGUCAUUUAUUUGAGAAAGUUAUUAAAAUUGAAUUAUUAAUGUGAAUAUCAUUUUUAUAUUUUUGCAAAAAGACUGUUUUAUUAUUGUUUGUUAUAUUUUUAUCCAUUCAAAAUGCGAAAAUACACUAUUGAUUUCCUUAUCUAAAUCUUGAAAAUUUUAUAAAAAUAACAUGAAAGUAAAGGAAACAAGAUAUAAAUAAUAUGACAUAGAUAUUCAUUAAGAUAUAAAAAUAGUGAUCUAUAUACGAAGAAUGUGACCUAAGUAUUCGGCUACAAAAAACACAACUUAGGAAUGAAAAGAGCAACCUAAAUACUAAGGUAUGAAUAGUAUGACUUAGGGACGAAAGAAAUGUCCUAAACUUAAAAAUCUGGGUCAACGACGAUGCCGCUAAAGACGAAACCUGGCUGGGAAUAUCAAUAUGUGCAGCAGACAAUAGAAGAGAUGAUGUUUCAAUGGAUGAGGAAAUUUCAGCAGUGGAAGAUGGUGUCGUAACCAUGGUAGACGAGAUUGAGAGAGGAUGCAGCAGGAAAGAAAUUGCUAGAACAAUGACAGCGGCAGGUUUAGAAUCCUAAAGCUCUGAUACCAUGAAAAAACAAACGGUGGUUGUAUAGUUGUAUUAUCUCAAUUGGGUUUUACCUGAGAGUAUAUAUACAAGAAAUACAAGUACCUAUGUGCCCUUAUGUGGCAGUAAACUGGGUCUCCAAAGGGGGAGUUAAGUUCACUUCCUAGUCAGUCAAUCGUAUCAAACCCGUCUUCUCGCCGCACUCCCGACCGUGAAUCAUCGGAUUCGAAAGUGUUCUCCAAUUGGGUUAUGAGCCUUAUGAAUAGACCUUAUGGUGACAGCUAUCUCGAGCUAAUGCUCAGUAUGUCUUUGUUACUAGGAUCCUUUGCUUUCUAGGAGAUGGUACCGCAAGCUCUCAUCGCUAUAGAUGACCUAUGUACUAAGAUACGAAAAAAUAAACUUAAGUACUAAAAAAAUGAAAAAUGUAACAUUGGUACUAAGGUAUGAAUAAUGUGAUAUAGGUACCAAGGGACAAAAAAUGUAAUAAAAUUAAUAAAAAAAGAUAAUCCUAGGUACUAAAGUUGAAAAUUUUGACCUUCGUCCGAAAAAUGUGAUUUAAACAUUAAGGUGCAAAGAAUGUGACUUAGUAUUUUGACCAAGAUACAAAUAAUAUAAUCUAGGUAUGAAAAAUGUGACUUAGAUACUAAAGUAUGAAAAAAUUGAUUCAAGGUACGUAUUGAUAAUAUGACUCAAGUACAACGAACAUUACUUAGAUGCUAAAGUAUAUAUAUAAGCAACUUAGAUACUAUGGCAUGAAUAAUGUGACCUAGGUAUGAAGAAUGUGACUUAGGUAAUAAGGUAUGGAAAAUGUGACUUAAAAAUAUGACCUAGAUAUCAAGGUAUGAAAAAAGUAGCACCGGCAUGAAAAAUAUGACCAAGAUAUGAAAAAUGUUAUCAAUGUAUCAAGGAAUAAAAAAUAUGAGUAGGGCAUAAAAAAUACGACUAGAACACUGUAUGUGACUAAAAUACAUGAAAAAUGUUAUCAAGAUAUUAAGGAAUGGAAAAUAUGAUUUAAAUAUAAAGAAUGUGACUAAGGUAUAAAAAAAAUAUGACUAAGAUAUGAUAUAUAAGUAAAAUAUAUGAAAAAUAUAAUUUAAGUACAAAAAAAUAUGAUCAAGAUUCGAUAAAUGUGACUAAGGUAUCAAAUUAUAAGAAAUGUGACUUAUAAAUAAGCAAUUACCAAACAAGGCCUUAGCUUCUCUAAAAUCAAUUCAAAUGGAGCCUAAAUAUGAGAUGAGCUUCUUACAUAAGUUAUAAAACAAUUAAAAAAAAAAACAAAAAAGGCAUUAUCUUUAUUUUAUUAUAAAGCUACUUUUUCCAAUCAAAUUUUUUAGUAAAAUCAUUCAUACACAUUUGAGAACUUAUGGCAUGUUUGCAAGUUUUCAAAAACAAUUAAAAAAAAAUCAAUUUUUAAUAUUUUUAAGAUUCUAUUUAAAAACUCAAAUAUGAAAAUGAAUUUUUUUGUACUCAUUCUUCAAACAAAUAUGCAUUACAUAUAAGUUCCAAAUAUAUUCUCGUAUUUUUAAUUAUUUCUUAGAUAUUUCAAAUUUCUAAAAGAUAAUAUAUUUUCAUAAUAAAUUUUUUUUUUAAAAAAAAACUACAAAACUUUUUAAAGCAGGGAUCCAAUGAAUCCCAAGAUAGAAUUACAUUGAAACAUGCUUUAAAAUUUAAUGCUAUUCAAUUUCAAAAUUAUUAUUUCAUUCUUUGCCAUGACUUUUGGGAAAACAUAAUAUUAUUGUCCAUUGAAGGGGAGACCUUUGCAAAGUGAUAUCAUUUUUCUUACCUUCCUCUAUGUUUUAUGGCAUAAUUAUGAUAUUUGUCUCUUCAUGCUUCCAUCAAUACUUUGUAGGGAUUUUCAAGUGGCAUUAUAAUAGUGUUGAGAGCAUCAUUGCCAUUAGUGAUGGCUAAACAUUUCUACUUUCCAAGUAAGAAGGAGGGAUUUCUCCUUUAACCUUUAUUUUUCCUUCCUCCCUAUCACUUACCCUUGUGCAAGUAAAAAUGAAAAUCUUGCUUUCUCAUCUUUAUAAAAUUUUCUUCCUUAUAAAUAAAAAAAAAUUGAAUCUUCUCUUAUGUCAAACAAAUACCCUUUUUUGUUAAGAUAUUAAUGAAAUUUCAUCAUAAAUCGACAUUUGAAUUAAUAUGGCCUAACAUUAAGUAUUAUUAUGAUACCCCAAAUUUUUUUAUAUGAAAUUCAUUUUAUAAAUCAAUAUAUUUUAGUUUUAAAUUAUAAGCAUUUUCAAAAAUCUUCAUACUUAAAACUUUUACAAAUUGCAAAUAACCCAAUUAAUAAUACAACAAAAAAAAAAAUAAUAAUAAAGUAAUCACAAUUGGACGAUGGUAGAGAAUAACACAUCAAAAUCCCCUCAUUCUAAGUAAGGACAAUAGGUAACAUGCUCAAUCAUCAUUAGGACUAAAAAUCAUGAUUAAAAGUCUAUUAUAAGAAGACAAAACUUUAUUACAAAAACCUAUUUCGCCAUACACAACGGUAGAUACUCCAUAAAAUUGUCUUAAAUUACCAUUCAUACGGAUGAAAAAUGAGAAACUAACCAAGCAAUGCAAAUAGUAGAUGAUUAAAAUGGAGAAAUACACAACUUACCAUAAAACACGAGAUAUUGUAUUAUGAAUAAAUGUAACAAUUCAUAGCCAAAGUUAUCACGUUUUUAUAUCAAAAUCGAGUUUAUAACUAAACAUAAUAGGAAGAGUGUUAUAAAUACGAAUAUAUCAAAACCCUCUAACCAUAGGUUAAGGAUAAUGACAACAUGUUCAAACACUAUCAUAGUUAAAAAUCAUAAUUAAAACAUAUCACAAGAAGACAAAACCCUAUUACACAAAACUAUUUCACCGCAUUAUAUAGAGUUUGUGAGAUUAUUUUGCACUACCUUUUGAUGUGAGUGAUAGACAAGAGCCCCAUUGAUAAAGUAAAACAACUAAUUGAUAGUUACAUCCAAAAACACACCCCACCUACUGUAUGACAUGACCUUUAUUAAGAAUAGAUAUAACAACUUCUAGUCAUAUUGUAUUCUUAAAGUUUGGUAAAGUUAUACACAAUAAAUUAAAUUAGCAAGUUAAUAACUGUUCCUCAAUUUGGUUUUUAGAAUGUAAAAUGAUUAACCUUUGAGAGAACAAAACUUUAUGUUUGUGAGAAAUAAAUAUCCAUGUAGAGAAUGAAUGUUUGUCAUAAUAAAUGAUGGAAAUGAAGUUUGAUAUCGACGUUUUAAGAUAACAAAAAAAUUCUUAUAAAAAGAUGAAGUAUUUUGUGUAGGUAAGAAAGUUUGGUGAAGAUUACUAAUAAUAUUUAUUACAGUAUAUGGUAUAUAAUUUAGACACCAAAAUCUCGUAACCAAACAUUCAAACAUUCUUUUAUUUCUUCUACUUCUCUUCUUGGGGUUUCAUUUUUAUAGGUUAGUUGAAAGAAUUAAGUUCAAUGAUGGAUUUAAAAGAAUUUUUCAUCCAAUAAUCACCCCAUCAAGUUUAAUUAAAUAAAGUGAUAAAAAAGAAAAUAUUGUUAUUUAAAUUUUUAAAAACUCUCAAAUGCAGAAAAUUAAUAAAAUAAGUGAUAAUUGUUUAUUUAAAACACGUGGAUGGCAAAAAUCAUUCAAAGAGAUGUCCUCAAUUUCAAUACGCCAUUUCUAAUUUUUUUCUUUUUAAAAAUAGUCUUGUAUUUCAAGUUUAAUAAUUAGAAAAAGGAAAAAAAUUAGUACCUUCCUAUUGAUCUAUUAAUGAUAAAGGAAUGAAGGAGCUGGUGGACCAAUAGGAACUGGUCACGUGCAGGUGGAGGUGCAAGAGUCAGAGCCGUGAACCCGAUGAUUAAACAGUGACAACACCAGGCCGCCACUUGUCCACCAUGAGGCCCGCCCCAGCACACGUAUCUUGGGAAAGAGACAAGGCCCACGUCAGCCCAAUUUCAAUUUCAUAGUCGGCCCAAUUGAACCCACAUGGGGCUCUACCGCCCUACUGUGCGCCGUCAAGGCUAUACACUAAACCCAUUCACAAAUCUCGAAACUCCCCUCCUUCUUCAUCACGCAACUGCCACGUGUCACUGUCCCACACCGACCUUCCACAUUUAUCCUAUCGAGGCCGACAUUUCCUGGACCCCACAUGGACGCCCUCCCACGUCGCCCGUACACGUGGCACAUAUUCUAUUGGCGUCGGCAAGCAACUACAGCGCACCGUGUCCCUCUCCCGCUUUUCUCCUUUCUUCCUUUUCUCUUUUGACUUCAAAUUCCCCUUAACGAAUACGCAACUCCACUCGCCAGAUCUAGUAGACACGUGUAAAAUAUCACACGUGUUAUCUUCUUGUAGCGAGUAGUCUCCAAAUAUGUAAGCUUCGAGAGUUGAGUUCUCAUUUUAGGUUUUGUUAAAUGCACUCGUCCGUUACGCACGCAGCUAUCGAUUGGCCACCCCUUGGUUUAUAUUCUUAAUCGCGUCAGAUCCGCGUACGCGGUACUGUAAGCCCUUAUAAAAUCGAAUCACUCUCAGAACCAACCCAUCAUCGAGUUCUAGACGCUGCUCUGAUUGCAUUUUUCUGAAGGCUUCAUUUCUGUUGUACAACUUGGUUUGAUACUUGAUCAUCAUGGAAGAAGAGCACCACCAUAGCAAAACCCACGAGUGUGAGACCACUGUGGUGGCAGAGGAGGCUGCCGUCGAGACCAAGGAUCGUGGGAUAUUCGAUUUCUUGGGGAAGAAAGAGGAGGAGAAGCCACAGGAGGAGGUGAUUGUUACCGACUUUGAGAAGGUUACCAUUUCCGAGCCUGAGCCAAAGGUGGAGGAGGAGGAGGAGAAGAAGCAUGGACUCUUGGAGAAGCUUCACCGAUCUGAUAGCAGCUCCAGCUCUGUGAGUUUUUAUCUUAUAUCAAUGUUUUUUUUUUGUUUUUUUCCUCGUUUGUUUACAGGCUUAAUGGAGGGAAGGAUUAAAUAGUAAUUUUGUUGUUCCCUGAUAGCUGGGGGGUGAUCUCCCCGCUCCACGUAUAAAUCCUUAGACUUCAAUGACUAAUCUGCCCUCACGUUUAAAAAACUUGCAGUCGAGCGAGGAGGAAGGAGAGGGAGGAGAAAAGAAGAAGAAGAAAAAGAAGGACAAGAAGAAAAAGGAGGAGGACACUUGUGUGCCGGUGGAGAAGUGUGAUGAAGUAGUUCCACCACAGCCGGAGGAGAAGAAGGGCUUCUUAGACAAGAUCAAGGAGAAACUGCCAGGACAGCACAAGAAGGCAGAAGAGGUUCCUCCUCCGCCACCACCUCCGGCAGAGUGCUCCCCCUCCUCAGAGACACACGAAGGCGAGGUAAAGGAGAAGAAGGGAAUAUUGGAGAAGAUCAAGGAAAAGCUUCCUGGAUACCACCCCAAGACCGAAGAAGAGAAGAAAGAGAAAGAGAAGGAUUGUGAAUAAGCCCAUAGAAAAAAAAACCAAUGUUUAUCGUUGAUUGUGCGGUUUGUUUGAUCACAGGAUGAUGUUUUGUUCUGUUUUGUUUUGUUUUAUUUUAUUUUAUUUUAUUUUUACCUAUACUUAUAUAUGUGAUUAUAUGUAAGUUUGUUUCCGAGGAUCUAUAUUGUAAUUUCCUCGUGUUAUUUUGUGAUUUUCACGGUAUUAAUGUAUUUGUUAAUUACCUGCUUUGUUUGUAUUUAAUUUCUUUGUGGAAAAAAGAAAAAGAAAAAAUAGAAAGCUAGUGUUGCUUUAUGGGUUUGGUUUCUAGCUUUUUACAUACAUUGCUUGGACAAUGUCAAGGAUGCAACCGAAAGCCACUUAUCUUCUUGAUCAUAUUAUAAAUAUUAUAAGUAACGUAGCUAAGAAUAUGAUACGGAUAAGCUUAUUCUAUCAUAUCUGAAGUCUUGUUGAGAGCUACAAACACAAAUGUUGUUUGUAUAAAUCAAUGAGAAUAAUUAUUAUGCCCAACCCUUGAUUCAAUUCUUUGUAUGUAUAAAAUAUGGAAAGGGUUUUUAACACUUGAAGGUCAUGUUUGGUUCUAGAAAAAUAUUACAAAAAAUAAUUUUAGUAUUCAAAAGUAGAGGAAGUAUGAGUUCCAUGUAAUUGAAUUUCAUUUACUAAUAAAAAGCACAAUUUAAUAUUUUUAAAAUUUUAUUUUAAUUAGAUAGAAAUCUACUUAUGAUGUUUCAAACCAUGGGUGAUUCAAAAAAUUAUCCAAACACAAUCAAAAGGCUUAAGUUUGAUUUCAAAAGCUAUUUUAUCGAACUAUUCUUUUAAGAAAAGUUUUUAACAAAAUCAUUUAUAAAAUAUUUUUCUUAAGAAUAUUAUAAAAGCCUAUAAGAGCCUUUAUAUAUAUAUAUAUAAUUUUAAGAAAUAUUUUUAAUAUUUUUAACAUUUAAAUUUUAAUAAUUUAGGAUUCGUAAUGAUUUGUAACAUCAGUUCAAGUCUUCUUUCUCGAUCCAAUUCCUUCCUUAGCUGUCAUUUGCAUAUAACUAGCUGGGAAUGCCCUUAGCGGAUUCUAUCUUUUUUUGGUGGAGUAACUUGUUUAAUAUUAAAGAAAUUUAGAAAAUUUUUAAUAAUUCAGGUGUUGAAAAAUCUAAAAAUGUUUUAAAAAUGUUUUUUAAGAUCAGUACUUCAAAUGAUUUUUCAAUAUUAUAAUUUUAAAUAUAUUAACGGCCCAUAGUAGCUUAAUUUAUUUAGCAAUUAACCGUUAAUUAAUUAAAAAAAAUUGUUACACAGAUUUGGAAAGGCAGCCUCUUGGUAGAUAGAAAGGCUAUGGUCCCAGCAAUCAACUAGACAUCACCAAGGCAAUUUCCAUAAUUGAGAGUUGCUUGGGACCUCAUAAUUCACACCUCGAAAGCUUUAUUCUACCCAAUGACUCAAUACAUGCUUGUAUUCUAUGGCUUAUUCAUUUAAUUGUUAUGCCAGGUGUCUGUCAAUAUCUCAUCACCAUAAUUGAAAAGAAAGAAGGAAGAAAAAAUAUUAUACUAUAUUGGUCGGAGCAAUGAUUGAUUUUUUUAAAAAAAAUUGAUUUAUUAUGAAAAAAUAAAAUAUAAUUAUUUUAAAUUAUUUAAUUCUCAUAUAAAAAAGAAAAAAAAAUCAAAAUGAGAUUAAAAAAUGGCUUAUUAUAUUUUUAUUUGAUUAAUUGAAUUAAGAGCUUAGUAUACAAGUUUUGCUUUUUUAGAAUUAAGAUUUAACUUUAUUUUUAAGCUUCUCCAUGAAUUUAUAAACAGAAGACUAUCCAUCACAAUUGCGCAUUUAAUAAUGAAUUUGCAAGUGGGAUGUUAAAAUAUAGUGGCUAAAAAGACUUGAUCUCCAAGUUUGAAGUUGCUACAUCUUAUUCUAUGUCUUUUCUUUUUCCUCCAAUACAAAAAGGCCCACACACCAGUCCAGUCCAGUGGGGUUGAAGAUGGGUGAUAUGCAUCAUCAUAACCUUUCUUUUUCUUCCUUUCGGUAGUAAGACUGGCUAGCAAUCAACAACCUCAGUUUCUUCUACCCACCACUAGUGGGUGGCCACAUCUGAGGGACCAAGGAGGAAGAAAAUGGUGAUAUAUUAAUGGGUAUCCGAAGAGCCUUCAUUCAUUGGUGCUGAGUCGAUCUUUUCAACUACUUAUCAAAACCAUAUUUCAAAGGCGUGCUCAACCAGUAGGGUAGAUUUUGAAUUUAAUUUUUUUUUUCCGCAUCGAUGUUUACCUGUUUGGCUCUUUCAAAAUAUCCACAAUUUUUAUAUAUUUAUUUUUUUAAUGUUUAGAAUUUGGCAUGGACCAAUUUGGCUUGAAGGGGUUGGGAAGUGGAUCAUAGGAAAAAGGCUAGGGAAGGGAUCUUGAAAUUGCUCCAAAGGAGAAAAAUUAGGCCACCCUGGUUCGGUUUGAAAAUAAUUGUCAAAUUAGUUCUCCUCAUCCAUGUGACUCUACGUGAUGAACAAAUCUUUUUCUUUUUUGGUUUUUAGCUUCUUCCAGGUUCUAGCAAUGUUAUUUCCACCGUGAACUUAAAUGUCAAUUUUCCCAUAUUAUUAUAUAAAUAUGGUUUUUGGUGGAAGUGACAAAAGCAUCCUCCAUGACUUGGGUCAUGUCACGAAAGACAUAUAUUAAGAAAGGACAAUUUGAGAUGCAUAGGUAAGGGUAAACGGUAAACCCAUAAAAGUCGUACACUAAGGGGUAAUCUUAGUAUAUCGUUCAUUGUUUUUAUUGGUUAUCCCUUUGCUUCUCCUAAGACACCAUGGCUAAUUUGAUCGCUAGGGGACAUUGAUCUAACCAACCGUCACACUCUAAUGGUCUCACUUAUUUUUAUUGGAGAACUCACACAUCCCAUAUUACGCUUAUUGCCACUUACGAAAAUAUCGUGAAAGGAGCGUAAUAUUACGUAAUUACAUUUUUUUCUUGUAAUUUAAAUACCUAUUGAUAUAUAUUGUCUAUUUUAUAACCAUAUUCCUUCAAAUAUUAUAAGUAUUAUAUUCAUUACCUAUCACUAUUUUAAGCAUGUCUACCAAAUUGAUGAGUCACCUUAUAAAUGUUAGUAACCAUUUCACAUGAUAUCUGUAUCAAUAAUUAAGUUUGUGUAAAUGUUUUUUAAAAUUACGAGAAUUAAUAUAAGCUUUAAAAAGCAAAUAAAAAAGAAAAAAAGUUAUAUUUAUAGGGGGUAAUGACAAAUAAUAUAACAACUUACUUUCAAUCACGUUGAUAUUAUGUGUUCUGAUCACAAGAGCUUCUUGUGAUUUUUAAAUGCGUCUACAAGUUAAAGAGAAAUUUAUACGUAAAUAAUACCAAUUUUUUUUUUGGAAGAAUUACCCAAGAGGAUGGGUUGGAAAAAAUAAUGACUAUGAAGGCUCACUCUUUUAGAGGACAAUUUUACCCUUGAAUAUGUUUUCUAUAUUAUUUAUAAAUAAACUGAAAUUGUCAAUGAUGUGGGGGUCAUACAUGAUGAUAAGUACAGGUUGAUAAAUGAUGUGGGGCCCAUACAUGAUGAUAAGUACAAGUUGAUAGGCAAUCAACGAUACAUUUCUCAACUUGAAAAAAUUGUUGUCACUUUUUAACAAUUGCCUGUUUAAAAAUUUGUUAUUUUUUUUUCAAAAAAAUUGAGAUUUUUUAAAGAAUCUUGUAAAAAAAAUAAUUUUUAAUAUCUCAUAAAUAAAAACCAUAUCCUAAAGUUAUUAUAUCGUUUUAUAUAUAAAAUAUACAAUUAAAAACUUUGUUAUCGUAAUAUAAUGAAUAAUUAUUUUUUAUGAGUACUCAUCAAUUGAAUAAUAUAUAAAUAUUUAAUUGACUAACAUACAUCUAUUAAAUGGAAUAACUCACAAUUAUUCAUUGGGUAAUAUAACAAGUGAAAAAAUUAAAUAAAAAUAAAUUAAAUUAUGUUGUAAUAUAUUGUAAUGAUAAUGUAUUUAUAUUGUAAGUAUAAUGCAUUUAUGCCGUAUCUAUAUUUCAUUACAAAAGUAAUAAUUUUAAAAAUGUUUAUUCAUACCCUAUUGGUAUUAAUACAUCAUAUUAAUAUAUUAACAACAUUUAUUUAGUAUUUUGAAAUUAUUUAAUAAUUUUUGUAUAUAUAUAUAUAAACUACGUGAAUUCAAAUUAGUAUUUCAUUUGAUUUCCGAAAUUAUUUAUGAUAUAAGUAUGUUGUGAAAUAUGGUAUGAUCAUACAAAAUUACAAUUUUUAUAAAAAAUUUCAUAAAUUUCUUAAUUAGGUUUUAUUGUAAUGUAUUGUAAUGUAAGUGUAUUUAUAUUGUAAUUAUAACAUAUUUUUGUUGUACUAAUUGUAUUUUAUAAUAAAAGUAAUAAUAUUGAGGAUCACCUUUUAUACCUUAUUAAUUUUCAACAUAUCAAAUAUAUUAAUACCAUCCACUCGAUGCAUUGAAAAAAAAAAUUUAUAUGAAAAUUAAAAUUAAAAAAAACACUAUGCAAAGGAAAAAAAAUCAUAUAAAUUUUUUAAAAUUAUUUUAUUAUAAAAAUAAAAAAUGAUUAAACAUUUUCCAUCAUUUUCUUAUUCUUUUUAGAGAAUCUAAAUGAAAAAUUAAACAUUUUAUCUUCCCUAAAUUUAAUACAAAAACAUAAUUUAUCAAUUUAAAAUUAUAAUAUAUAUAUAUAUAUAUAUAUAUAUAUAUAUAUAUAUAUAUAUAUAUAUAUAUAUAUAAAUCAUCAUUUUUAUUAUAUAAUUAUAAAACUUAUUUUUUUCUUCAUAAAAUUAAAAAUUAGAAUAAAAAUAAAAAAGGUAAAAAAACAAUAAAUGAUAUUUUGAAAAUAUUUUUUAAAAGUAUUUUUGUUUUAAAUAGUAAAUUUAAAUAACAAAUUAUAUAUAAUUAUAAGGGUUAAACCCAAAAUUUUGAUAUAAAAUUUAAAUAUCAAUAAUUACAAUAUAUGUGGGACCCAUGUACCAUAAAUAUAUUGACAAAUCUAAUAAAGUGUUUUAAAUGCUUUGAAUUUUAAAAGUUUUAGUUAAAUGAUGGUUUUAGUAUAUUAAGCCUAUUAAAGUCAUCCUCAAGAAUUAUUAAAAGAUACCACCCUUUCUAGUAAUCAUUCCGCCAAUUCUCCCAUUUUUUUUCUUUGCUUGUAGAUAUACUAAGCUACAUGAUACUUAAGACACAUAAGGGACAAAAAGCGAGCAUCGUCAAGAACAAACAAUCGGAUAACCCAAGAAGAGAUGCCCUUGUGCCAACUCCUCCCCUGCAACCAAACAAAACAAUGUCACUGAUUGAGAGUCCCUGUUAGUAUAUUACAAACAACACUGUCAUAAACUUCAAGAAAUUCCAAGCUCACCAUAGCUGUAUAUAUCACCAUACCUUUAAUCA